UGGGGAAUAUUGCACAAUGGAGGGAACUCUGAUGCAGCGACGCCGCGUGAACGAAGAAGGCUUUCGAGUCGUAAAGUUCUUUUAUAUGGGAAGAUAAUGACGGUACCAUAAGAAAAAGCCCCGGCUAACUACGUGCCAGCAGCCGCGGUAAUACGUAGGGGGCUAGCGUUGUCCGGAAUCACUGGGCGUAAAGGGUUCGCAGGCGGAAAUGCAAGUCAGGUGUAAAAGGCAGUAGCUUAACUACUGUAAGCAUUUGAAACUGCAUAUCUUGAGAAGAGUAGAGGUAAGUGGAAUUUUUAGUGUAGCGGUGAAGUGCGUAGAUAUUAAAAAGAAUACCGGUGGCGAAGGCGACUUACUGGGCUCAUUCUGACGCUGAGGAACGAAAGCGUGGGUAGCAAACAGG
rnacentral:rRNA from 2 species